rnacentral:lncRNA from 1 species
ACUGAUAAAAAUAAAGAAAUAAGGUUAGUAACAUGAAGGUCCAUCAGAACUAAGAAGCUUUAUAUUUAGGAGCAUGAUUACUUAAUAAUUUUAGACUAAACAUUUAGAAGAGGAUGCCAGUGAGUCUCUACAAUGAAACUACAAUCCAAGCCCUCAAAUUGUCUGGAAAGCAACACCUAAAUCUAAGUUAAUAUAAAUAUCAUGAGAAGCUGCAUGAGCAAGUGGCUC